rnacentral:piRNA from 1 species
UCAAGUUUUUCAAAGAGGUCAUCCGUAGU